GCCCAGAGGGAGGUUCCAGGUAGAACAACAUGUAACAACUGUCCACUGUUCCACUCUGCCCAGAGGAAGGUUCCAGGUAGAACAACAUGUAACAACUGUCCACUGUUCCACUCUGCCCAGAGGAAGGUUCCAGGUAGAACAACAUGUAACAACUGUCCACUGUUCCACUCUGCCCAGAGGGAGGUUCCAGGUAGAACAACAUGUAACAACUGUCCACUGUUCCACUCUGCCCAGAGGAAGGUUCCAGGUAGA